rnacentral:rRNA from 1 species
GGCGGCGUGCUUAACACAUGCAAGUCGAACGAGAAAGUCUUUUCGGAGGACGAGUAGAGUGGCGCACGGGUGAGUAACACGUGGAUAAUCUGCCCCGGAGUUCGGGAUAACCAUUCGAAAGGGUGGCUAAUACCGGAUAGAAUGGAUUCAUGCAGGUGGAUUGAUGAAAGGCGGCACUUUCGGGUGCUGCUGCUUUGGGAUGAGUCCGCGCAUCAUUAGCUUGCUGGUGGGGUAACGGCCUACCAGGGCGACGAUGGUUAGCUGAUCUGAGAGGGUGAUCAGCCACACUGGAACUGAAACACGGUCCAGACUCCUACGGGAGGCAGCAGUGAGGGAUUUUGCGCAAUGGGGGUAACCCUGACGCAGCAACGCCGCGUGAGUGAAGAAGGCCUUUGGGUCGUAAAGCUCUGUCAACAGGGAAGAAGUUACAUUGGAUUAAGAGUUUGAUGUAUUGACGGUACCUGUGGAGGAAGCACCGGCUAACUCCGUGCCAGCAGCCGCGGUAACACGGGGGGUGCAAGCGUUAUUCGGAAUUAUUGGGCGUAAAGUGCGCGCAGGCGGUCUUGUCAGUCAGAUGUGAAAGCCCGGGGCUCAACUCCGGACGUGCAUUUGAAACAGCAGGACUUGAGUACAGGAGAGGAAAGCGGAAUUCCUGGUGUAGAGGUGAAAUUCGUAGAUAUCAGGAGGAACACCGAUGGCGAAGGCAGCUUUCUGGACUGAUACUGACGCUGAGGCGCGAAGGCGUGGGUAGCGAACAGGAUUAGAUACCCUGGUAGUCCACGCAGUAAACGAUGUUCACUAGGUGCAGCGUGUAUUAAAACAUGCUGUGCCGGAGCCAACGCAUUAAGUUUGAAACCCGCCCUUGGGGAGUACGGUUUCGCAAAGAUUUAAAAACUCAAAGGAAUUNGACGGGGGGCCCGCACAAGCGGUGGAGCAUGUGGUUUAAUUUCGACGCAAACGCGAAGAACCUUAACCUGGGUUUGACAUCCUGUGAACCCUCUGGAGACAGAGGGGUGCCUUCGGGAGCACAGAGACAGGUGCUGCAUGGCGUGUCAGCUCGUUCGUGAGAUGUUUGUUAAGUCCAGCACGAGCGCAACCUUAUCUUUAGUUGCCNNAGCUACUUCGGGNNUUGGGGA